GAUGAACGCUGGCGGCGUGCUUAACACAUGCAAGUCGAACGGAAAGGCCCAAGCUUGCUUGGGUACUCGAGUGGCGAACGGGUGAGUAACACGUGGGUGAUCUGCCCUGCACUUCGGGAUAAGCCUGGGAAACUGGGUCUAAUACCGGAUAGGACGAUGGUUUGGAUGCCAUUGUGGAAAGUUUUUUCGGUGUGGGAUGAGCUCGCGGCCUAUCAGCUUGUUGGUGGGGUAAUGGCCUACCAAGGCGUCGACGGGUAGCCGGCCUGAGAGGGUGUACGGCCACAUUGGGACUGAGAUACGGCCCAGACUCCUACGGGAGGCAGCAGUGGGGAAUAUUGCACAAUGGGCGCAAGCCUGAUGCAGCGACGCCGCGUGGGGGAUGACGGCCUUUGGGUUGUAAACUCCUUUCGCUAGGGACGAAGCGUUUUGUGACGGUACCUGGAGAAGAAGCACCGGCUAACUACGUG
rnacentral:rRNA from 1 species